GACGAACGCUGGCGGCGUGCUUAACACAUGCAAGUCGAACGGAAAGGCCCUGCUUUUGUGGGGUGCUCGAGUGGCGAACGGGUGAGUAACACGUGAGUAACCUGCCCUUGACUUUGGGAUAACUUCAGGAAACUGGGGCUAAUACCGGAUAGGAGCUCCUGCUGCAUGGUGGGGGUUGGAAAGUUUCGGCGGUUGGGGAUGGACUCGCGGCUUAUCAGCUUGUUGGCGGGGUAGUGGCUUACCAAGGCUUUGACGGGUAGCCGGCCUGAGAGGGUGACCGGCCACAUUGGGACUGAGAUACGGCCCAGACUCCUACGGGAGGCAGCAGUGGGGAAUAUUGCACAAUGGGCGGAAGCCUUAUGCAGCAACGCCGCGUGCGGGAUGACGGCCUUCGGGUUGUAAACCGCUUUCGCCUGUGACGAAGCGUGAGUGACGGUAAUGGGUAAAGAAGCACCGGCUAACUACGUG
rnacentral:rRNA from 1 species